rfam:Oryza nivara chromosome 8, whole genome shotgun sequence.
UUUAAGUGUAACCAUAAGUUUCCAUAUCCAACUUUAAUCGUUCAUCUUAUUUAAAUUUUUUUCUAAUUAACAUGAAUAAUACUUUAUGCGUGACUUAUGUUUUUAAUUUUUUUUUCAAAUAAGAUAAAUGAUUAAAGUUGGGCAUGGAAAAUUAUGGUUGCACUUAAA